UCUUUUGUCAUUCUGAAGAUGAUCCGUUUAAAAUUUGUGCUAAAGUGAUAUUCUAUCCACUACAUCAUAUUUCUGUUCCUACAAAUAUACAAAAUCUGACAGGUGGAUAAAAUCCUUGCAUCUGGUUGAAUGGUUCCUCUUUUUCAGAUGACAUGUUGAUUCUCUGGUCAUGUUAUGUUUUCCUCACAUAUCUAUCACUCUACCUUUCCUUCAACUUCCUGCAAACUUUACUCACACUGGACAGUGAAAAGCAAAGGGUAACUGCAAGAAUUCGCAGAAAGAGACGGCGGAGGGGAAGAUCAAAGCUGUCCACCAGAAUUAGUAUUCAACGCAAGAGCACGCGCUAGAGGCUGAGAUACACUUGAUGGAUCUGCUAUGAAAAUCAUCUGGCCAUCGGCCCAAGAAUGGUGACGUAGUGAUCACGGUCAGAGCGAGACUGCUCAUGUAAAAAUCCCAGAGCGUGCAUUAGCUCAUGAGAUGCCACCCCAGACCACAUACAGCCAGGAGACUGCAAAGACAUAAUCUGACUCCCUCCUAUCAUUCCCAGAUAUGACCAGCAACUGAGCAAAAAAAAAAAAUCAUUCCAAAUGCGUAUGACCUUUUUUCUUCAGUGAAAAACUAGAGAUGUUACACAUAAUCAGAAAGUAAUGUGUUAAUCACUUCAAACAAUGCAUCAUGAUUGGAUUGUGUCUGAAUUACAUGAAUGGAAUGGACUCACCCAGAUCUAGACUGGAUAUUAAGGAAGUUUGCUUGAUGUGUGCGAGGCACAAACUUCACACAUGUGCUAGAAGAAAUGUCCAACAUUCCUGUUUCUAUCGUGAUUCUGUCCAUAUCAUCUGUGAUGGGUAAUUCAAACCAGAUAAAUAAUGUUAUGAUGAUACCAAAGAUAAACAAAGACCUUGUUUUUAAGUUUGACAGAUAAUUGCAUUGAUAAAGAUUUCUGGAGUGAUAACUCACCAUAUUGUUGGGAGAGGAUGUACGGUACAUACACAAAACCAUCAACAGAUUUUGGCCAGAGGCAAGAAUCUCCUGAACAGGUGAUGGCACUGCGUGCUCCUGGACUCACUAUGUCACCU